rnacentral:rRNA from 1 species
GCUGGCGGCAGGCCUAACAUGCAAGUCGAGCGGAUGACGGGAGCUUGCUCCUUGAUUCAGCGGCGGACGGGUGAGUAAUGCCUAGGAAUCUGCCUGGUAGUGGGGGACAACGUUUCGAAAGGAACGCUAAUACCGCAUACGUCCUACGGGAGAAAGCAGGGGACCUUCGGGCCUUGCGCUAUCAGAUGAGCCUAGGUCGGAUUAGCUAGUUGGUGGGGUAAUGGCUCACCAAGGCGACGAUCCGUAACUGGUCUGAGAGGAUGAUCAGUCACACUGGAACUGAGACACGGUCCAGACUCCUACGGGAGGCAGCAGUGGGGAAUAUUGGACAAUGGGCGAAAGCCUGAUCCAGCCAUGCCGCGUGUGUGAAGAAGGUCUUCGGAUUGUAAAGCACUUUAAGUUGGGAGGAAGGGCAGUAAGCUUAAUACCUUGCUGUUUUGACGUUACCGACAGAAUAAGCACCGGCUAACUCUGUGCCAGCAGCCGCGGUAAUACAGAGGGUGCAAGCGUUAAUCGGAAUUACUGGGCGUAAAGCGCGCGUAGGUGG